GGGCAUUUGGCACAGUGGUAGCGCGCACGCUUCGCAUUGCAAGUUGCUUGCGUGAGGUCCAGGGUUCAAUCCCCUGAAUGUCCA
rnacentral:tRNA from 1 species